UAUGACAGAGCAUCGGGCUUACCGAAGCCAAGGUAUCUUCUUCGAUAACAAGGUUCAUAAUUGCAUUACUUGUGCUACAAGCACUCGUAAACACACCCCUUGUGCUUUGGCUAUUGUUUGAGAUUCUGCACAUUUCAGAUGUUGAGGUACGAGAGACCAAGAUGAUGGGAAGCACUCCCAUUAUCAUUGUAGCUUUCCAAACGCAACAGGUUUACUGUGUACGUGAUGCAAAUGGAUCAAUUAGAGAAGGCGGUAAGGUGAGUUAUGUUUCUUUUGUUUCCGUCUUUGCUUACACUAAUGCACCUUAUGUAAUUAGAGUUGAAUAUUAGACAAUCAAAAUGAAAAUCAUCCUGAUGAAAUAUGAAACUUCUGAGCUUCCACUUGCUUCUUGUAUUGACUGUUUUACUGUUUCUUCACGGUUUGUAUUCA